UACGUAGGGUGCAAGCGUUAAUCGGAAUUACUGGGCGUAAAGCGUGCGCAGGCGGUUUUGUAAGACCGAUGUGAAAUCCCCGGGCUUAACCUGGGAACUGCAUUGGUGACUGCAAGGCUUGAGUGUGUCAGAGGGAGGUGGAAUUCCGCGUGUAGCAGUGAAAUGCGUAGAUAUGCGGAGGAACACCGAUGGCGUAGGCAGCCCCCUGGGAUAACACUGACGCUCAUGCACGAAAGCGUGGGGAGCAAACAGG
rnacentral:rRNA from 1 species